CCUAAGUCUUGACGUCGUGCCCUAGUUUUUUCUUCUCGCCGCGAGCUCUCGCCGGCUGAACCCUUCUUCCCUUCUGUUUUCUACCUCCGGCCGCCGAGCAAAGCUGUCUUCUAUGUGCCCUAGCCGCGAGCCACCCGAGCACCAUCGCACCUCUGUCCUAGGUGACGGCCAAAGGGGGAAAGGACCGUUCCCUAGAUCUAUUCCUCACUGCCGCACGAAACAGCGCCACCAGCCGGUCUCAUCGGGCCCUAGCAUUGUCGCCGGAUCCUUGAUCACCUCUGAUCAGUGGAGAGGAAGAAGCAGGGAGAUUGUACUAGGUGGGUAGUUCUUGGUCCGACCCAUCUUGAUCCAGCGUUAACAGUGGCUAGGUAGUGAGGUUAACCAGAGGUAUUUGGUUGGAACGACAGCAGGCGUCUUCGGCAGUGACUCAACAGCCGAAUAUGCAUAUUUGGGUGAGUUUUGGAUUGAGGUAAAUGCAUUGUUGUUAGUAUAAAUGGAUUUUGGAGUUAGUAAAUCUAUUAUGGUUUGUGUAAUUUGGAUUGGUUGAAUAUCAUGAUGGAAUGUAUGUCGUUAGGCUCAUUGAAUUGAUUUUUCAUACGUGGAGUGUUUGAUUAUUGAUCGAGGAUCAUUGGAUUUAUUCGAUGAGUUAGGCAUGUUGGAUUAAACCUGACUCAAUCAAAUGGAUUGGAUGAAUCGAAAUUUAUCGUUGCAUUGAGGUUUCCUUAAUUGGUUUUAGGGAUUUUAUUUAGCUAUUUAACCCAUGUGAAUUUAGCUAAAUAAAAUAUAUUGAUACAGGACUCUGAUUCGAGAUGAGCAUCUCAACGUCGGAUUUGGACUGGAUUGGA